CUUCCUCCUGCUCUCCUCUAUGGAGCCACCAUGUGAUCCCGGGAAGAGGACACCAGCGGAAGGUGUGUCUGGAGCUUCAGAUCUAGUCACAAGAUGGACAUUCAGGCUGUGGACCUAUCCACCUCAAAGAGUAGGUGGUGCUUAUGGUGAUGGCUAGCAACGGGAUUCCACUUAGUAGAGUCCUGCUGUUAUAUGAAAGAAAGACAAAAAGACCACAGGAGCCAGAAGUCAAGGAGGACUGGCACAAAACUGUCUUCAAGGCAUGAUAGCCUGUUGCAUUUCUGUAAGAGGCUGUGGUUCCUUGCACAAGACUUGUACAAGAUCAAACCAGUCAUGUUCCAGCUUGGAGUACAGAAGGAUUCAUGAGCCCUGUGGUGGUUUGAAAGAAAAUGGGCCCCAAAGGGAGUGACACUAAUAGGAGGUGUGGCUUUUUUGGAGGAAGUGUAUCACUGCAGGGGUGGGCUUUGAGGUCAUUUUGUUCUAGCUUCCCUC